ACCCUUUAGGUCGACUCCCCCCACCCCCGGCCCCCCAACAGAGCUCAGAGAACCUCUGCCGAUCCCCCUCCCUCUACCAGGCGCGCGAUAAGGUGCACGUCUUUCGAACACUGGCACUGCCCAUGGAAAGCCCCACCUAGCCUGGGAGAAGAGAGGUUUUUUUUUCCUUUUUUUUUUUUCGUAUGGCUAUUUCAUCAAAUCACAGGUACAAAAAUCAUCGGUAUCAAUUCAGUCAAGUAUAAAUAAGAAGGCCGGAUUGAACCAGGCAAACUUUUCAUCCCUUCCAGACCUAUUUCAUGAGGCGCUCCCGGAUCGAUCCCACGCUCUCAAAAAUCCGGCCGGUGUGAAGACGGAUAGAAAAAUUAUUGCUGGAGUCCGAUAAUGACAAUUGGGGUUGGAUUUUUGUUUUGUUUUUGUGCUGCGAUGCCAAAGCGGGGAAAUGCUUUGUGCUACGGAACAAAUACCCUGUAGAAUUUAUCGUCGCGGGAUUGGUUUUGAUUCAUCGCUUUGCACCUGUUGCUAGGAGACAGGAGACUGUCAGAAUCAGGUGUCUGCAUCAAUGUGCUGAAUGGGAGGAGCCGGGGGAAGGAGGCAGGCUUGGCUCUGGCUUGUGCAUGACUGGAUGUGUGAAAGCAAGGAGACCCCAAAUGCGGGAACGGGUUGGGGGGUUUUGCUCUACAACCUACCGGCUCUCCAGUGACCGCCACUGUUCGCCCGAGGCUGGGACCCCUUUCUCCAGCUGGCCCAGCAAAACCACCACUCUCAGUGGCAAUUCUCAAAGUGCAGAAAGAUGUGAGCCGUGAAGCCAGCACACACCGCUUACCGAUGGCGCGCCUGCUCCAGGCUGUUUGGGAUUUUUCCGGAACGGGACUUUAAAUUUCUCCUACAAUAUAAAUGUCGGCAUAACCUAUUAUAUAAACCAUCUUAGAACUUAAAUCUUCAUGUACAAAAAUGACUAAGAAUAUCUAAUAAUAACUAGUGCAGUGCG